AUUAUUUUUUUCAUGUUGAAGAACACCUUGGGAAUUUUAGUAUGGCCAUACUAAAUUGACAACCCUUCUCUCUGUCUCUGUCUCUGUCUCUGUCUCUGUCUCUGUCUCUCUCUCUCUCUCUCUCUCUCUCUCUCUCUCUCUCUCUCUCUCUCUCUCCCUCUCUCUCUCUUUCUCUCUCUCCAAGUCAUUUGGGUAUGUAGAAGUAUAUGUCUAUUCCUGGCAUUCAAAUUCUAACUUUUUUUCUAUUUUAGAAAGUCAUGUCUUCUUUCUUUCCUUUGAUACUGUUUUCUUCUGUAGACUCUGGUAGUCAGAAAUAGUCAGACACACCUGAAAACUAAAGAGCUUACCAUGGUUAAAAAGCAUGUCUGUGUGGAGAAGAGUUUUAUAUAUAAUUAUAAUUCCCAAAUAACAUAAAUUCAACUUCCAGAAUAAUAUGAAAAAUAUUCAUUGCUUUGUGUUUACAAAGGCAUAUUUUAUUUUUAAUUAUGUGUGUGCGGGAAGGGGCAUGUGCAAACAUGAGUGCAGGUGUCCAGAGCAUCCUUGAGAGGGGAGCAGAUUCCCUGGAGCUGGAGUUAAAGGUCUUUGUGAGUUGCCUGUGUGGAUUCUGGGAACCAAAUUUGGGUCCUCUGUAAGAGCGGGACACACCAUUAACCUCUUAGCUGUCCCUCCAGCCACUCACAUUCCUUUAUUCUAAAAAACGAUUUCCAUAACCUCAAGAGAAUCAUAAUGAUCUCCAAUAAAAAACUGUAUCAUCAUAUUUCCUCACUUCCCACUGGCUCAAUUCACUCAUUCUUUCAGUGGCUGGGUACUAGCUGGACAUCAUGUCAAACAAAACACAAUGCUAUUAGGAUCCCUGCCUUUGUUGAGUAAGGAAGAGAUCUGGUAAAACAGAGAGAUAAACAUUAAAAGAAUGCAAGAUUCAUGGGGAUAAGGACUUUUGUUUUUGUCCAACUACAUACCCUAAGUACUUAAAUGAGUAUCAGGCAUACAACAGACAUGAUAGCUCCCCAAUAUCUGGUGAAUGCUAAAUGGAUAUGAUAGGGACAUUUAGGAGACUCUGAGAUACUAAGGAAAGACCAAUAAACAAAGUAAAUAUUUUUGACGUAUUAAGUUGGCAUGGCUGGAAAAACUGCUGCAGAGCCUUCAGUAUUAAGGGAACAGAGAACUUGAAAGUCGGGGUUAGAAGGAGCAGAGAGUUUGGCUGCAGCAACAAGCAAAGGGUGAGCAUGCUGUCAUCUGAAGUAACCAGAAGUCAUACACCAAAAAGUUUGGAAUUUAGACCAAAUCUAUUGAGUGAUUUUAAGCGUGUAAGAGCUUAAGCAGUAUAAACAUGUAGAUGUGUUUAGGAAAGGAUGACCGAGGCUGAAAUGUGACAAGUGAUAGGGAAUGAGUGUGGCUGAGCAGACCAAGUCAGGAAGCUUCAUAGAAAUCCCAACAGCAUGUAAGUAGCAGUGGUCUAAACAAAGGCAAAUGUAAAGGGACAUAGGGAAUUGGGCAUAUUUCUAAGAUUUCCUUGGCUGUUUGGAAUAGGGAAGGCAGGAAGGGAGUUAAAGAAGACCAAAGAGGCAAAGACUGGACUCAUAUCUCCAGUCUUGGCCAAUGAAGAAUAGAGAGUAUACCUUCAAAGUAAGGAGACACAUUUGGAGGGAAUUUCACUUUUGGAGAUGGGGAGUUGUCAGCUUUUCAAGUUGUUAUAGACUAGAUUUCUACAGUUAUCUCAUUUUUCCUACAAGCCUAGACUAGAUUAUCAGGGAUCCAUCACAACUGGGUAAAACACCCUUGAGUACCUAUUAUAGAAUUUAUAAGCUGAGCUUGCUUACAUGACCAUAAGUUACACUUAGAAAAUGAAGUAGUUUUCUUGGGUUGAGGAAAUAGUUAGGUGAGUAAGAGUGCUUGCUGUUCAAGUAUUAGUGCCUGAGUUCAGAUCUUGAUACCACUCUAAAAGGCCAGGCAGCAUGCACCCCUGUAACCUCAGAAUUAUGCUGGAUGAGCAGAGAUAGGAAGGUUGUUGUGAGUUACUCCUGACUCAGAGGAGUCAUUUCUCUCAUCCUCAUAAAGGACAAAAACACAUCAGCAUGCCCUUCACAUCGUUCCCAGUAGCUUUCUAAGCAAGGGACAAGAACCAAAGGAGCAUCUCAUUUUUAUUGCACCAAACAGGCUUAGGAACUAGAGCAUUUUAGCUAACUCAUGAGUUAAUUUCCAAUAUGAUUGGUAGGGGAAAGUUCUUUCUGGCUAAACAAGUGUUUGGUUUUCAUUGGAGAGUCUCAUGUAAAUGGUGCUCACUGAACUGAUUCAGCGUGGUCCAUUUCAGUUUAUCAUAUUAUCUAAAUUGCAUGUGAAGACUCUCAGUAGGUUUCAGAGUCGCACAUCAGACUUGGCUGUAGGUGCAUCCAAAGCCAGUAUUUUCAAAUUGACUUGUACUUUUGUAGAAGUUGGCCUUUCAAAUGUAUUAUUUGUUGGACUUGGCAUUUCUACAGUGAAUAACUACCCACUCACUUUUCUUUAAAUAUAAACUUCAAUAUGCUGAAUCUUCCUAAUGCAAUCUCUACAUCUCUUGGUUGCUCCUCUGCAGACUAAAUGACACAGCAACAAGUGUGCUGUGCAGAGGCGGUGGGGGCUCUUCCCUUUGUGUUUGGGAAAGAGCACAAAUCACAGGUGUGUCUAGUCACCUGGCUCCUUCACAGACGGGUUCAGAACCCUCUUUAUGUGUGUCUAGCUCAAUGUCCCUUUCAACACCCCACUGUCUGCAAACAACGAAGGAAGGGAAGGUGUAUAGGGAGAAAAAUGAAAUGGCUGUUUAGCACACACAUUCUUACCUCUACCCAGCUUUGAAAUCAUCUCAUAUUGGGAAAAACAGACACUUUUCUCAUAAUCACAGUGCCAAAUGAACAUAACUAACUCAUUUUUGCAGUCUGGGAUUUUCCAUAGACGAAUCCUUUGAGAAAUGGAAUGCACUGUGGUGGCUUAUAUUAUACCAUCUUGUGUCAACUUCUAUUCCAGGGAAACACUGCAUGUCCUUAUAAAAAUAAUUCUGGGCAUAUUUCUUUAUACCUGCAUGCCAAUAUUCAAGAGCAAGGUUUAAACAUUCACAUUUUAGGAGCAUGAAAAUUAAAUAUUUAUUGAUCCAUAUUAAUUUAACUAAUGCAGUACUCUGAAAUCCAGUAUGCUGUUUUCACCCAUUUAACCUAGAGCAAUAUUAGAAGGAAAUCCAACUGGACACUCUUUAGUAGAUUUCCAACAUAAAACAAAGAAAUCAAUGAAAAUGUGGCAACGAACAAGCCCCUCUUGCUUGAGAAGGAGGAGCGAGCGUGGAGCUUGCCAGAAGCGGGUUGUCACUCCACUAGACUAAUUUUAGAGAGAAAAGAAGUCAGCGUGGUGAAAUGAAUUUCCUUUCUGUAGCUUGCCUGAUUGCUGACAUUCCGAAAUCUCAUAAUAUUCUCUGAAUAAAUUAUCCUCAUUUUGUUUAAAAAGAAAUUUAACAUACAUUUAAAUAGCGCCGUUGUGCUGGAGAGGAGCAGUGCUGAUCUGUGCAUUCCACUAAUGGCAUCGGGUGCAGAGCAGCUCUCCUAAUCCUAUGAGAGCUAAUCAUCGGGGAGAAGUCCUCCCAAUGAGAUGCAGCUCCAGUUUCCAAGUUCUGUGUCCAAAAUAUGUGGUGUCCUCAGCAACAGAGACUUACCUCUAAAUUAUGGGAGGCAACCAAGGUCAACUGCAAUAGCCUGUAUUGUUUCAGGUUUCUCUGGGACUCCCUUGAUCAACAACUCAAAAAUAAGGCUUCGGUGAACUUUUCCCAAGCAGAGAUGUUAGUACUAACUUGACAACAAGAGUUAAGACUUCUAAAACUCUACUUUUUCUACAUAAGAAGGCUGGGAAGGGAAGUCCUAGAAAUUGUUCAUCACAUGUGACUAGAAGAGAGAUUUAGCAUGAGAUUUUGCACAGACUACAGGUACUUCUGCACCCAACAAAUUCCCUGAAGUUAAAAGCAUCCACUCAUGUCUCCAAGAGAAUAAGAUCAUCCUCUGCAGGGGAUGAUGGAGUACGGAUCAUCUCCUGUGCAUCCUUUCUGCAGCACUAUGGACAGCCACAGCACAGAAGGAAACCAUGGCACAUUAACUCUAUGAGUAGGAAGAACCCAGGAGACCUAAGUGGGGACAAAAGCUGAGUAAACCCAAGCAUAUUCUACUUGAAGUGUUCAACCACUGAGCUCAGAUCCCCAAAUUAUGCAAUUUCUGGUUUUGUUCUCUCCAUAAUGAAACAGAAUGGGAUGGAGGUAUUCACUCCUCGCUUCCUUCCUCACUAACAGCAGCCCUAUCUCACACAGUUCACCUUUUAGAGUAUAUAAAAUACAGCCCAUAAGAAAGCAAGCCCAUCAUUUUAUUAGCAUAUUUUUAUAGUAGACAAAUUUUAUAGUAGACAGAAUACAAAAUACAAAAGUAAUUAAAAACAUACAAUUUAGAGGCUAGAAAGAUGGCUCAGUGUUAAGAGUCUUGGCUAUUCUUCCGGAGAAACCAGGUUUGAUUAUCAGUGCCCACGUGACAGCUUAAGACCAUCUAUAACUCCAGUUCCAGGGAAUCCAAUACUUUCUUCUGGCCUCUGUGGGCACCAGGCACAUGCAUGGCACACAGACAUACAUUCAGGAAAAAACAUCCGAACAUAUAAAAUAAUAAAAAUAAAUUUAGAAGUUGAAUAUACAAUUUAUUGAAUCUGUUUCUCUCAACUAUCCAAUGGCCCUUUCUUUCUCUUUGAGUUGCUUGGACCAGUUGAAACAAAAGGGAUUUGUUGGCCGGCUUUCUCAAUCAACAAGAUAUGGCAGAAUUUCUCUCACAUGCUUGUUGCCCAAUUCAGUCAUUCAAGAUAUAUCAUAUCUUCUAGAAAAGAAUGGCUCCCUUUAAACAUGCCCCCAGCACAGCUUCAAGCAGAUGUCACCCUUCAAGCCCAUCCUGGCUGAGUCAUCAGGGCAUCUGAAUGACCCUAAGGACUUGGCUGUUCUACUCAGAAUCCCUUGCCCUUUGGUCAUACCCCAACCACAACAUGGAGAGUAGAUGCAUUUGAAGGGUCAAAUUUAAGGACUACCUCAUGCUCUCUCCAUGUGAUAGAGACAUGCAGAAUCAAGUGGGUGAGCCAAAUGACCAGUCCUUUCCCAGGCACAGAACCUGUGGUUUAGGAUUCGUCAUUAGCACUAACCAUACAACUCGUUUUGGACCAUUAGCCUUAUCUAGUUACAAAUGAAGAUUCACAAAGACAUCCUAUAUGUAAGCUAUAAAUGCAACUAGAAUUAAAAUAAAAUUAAUAUGUCUUCCUUAAAUGUCAAUACUUUAAUUUGGGUAUUCUACCAAACACUAAGUCAACUUGGGAAACAGUUUAUCAUUUGUUGAUCAGUGUUCAUAUUCCUUGGUAUGAGAAAAUAAACUGAUGUUUGCUUGA